rnacentral:rRNA from 1 species
AGCAGCCGCGGUAAUUCCAGCUCCAAUAGCGUAUAUUAAAGUUGCUGCAGUUAAAAAGCUCGUGGUUGAAUUUCGGGACCAUCAUGUCGGUCGUGCCUCGGUACGUACUGGCAUUGUUGGUUUCUCCCUUCUGACGAACCAUGAUGUCAUUAAUUUGGUGUCUUGGGGAAUCAGGACUGUUACUUUGAAAAAAUUAGAGUGUUUAAAGCAGGCUCACGCUUGAAUACAUUAGCAUGGAGUAAUGAAAUAGGACGUUUGAUUCUAUUUUGUUGGUUUCUAGGAUCGACGUAAUGAUUAAUAGGGAUAGUUGGGGGCAUUAGUAUUCAAUUGUCAGAGGUGAAAUUCUUGGAUUUAUUGAAGACUAACUACUGCGAAAGCAUUUGCCAAGGAUGUUUUCAUUAAUCAAGAACGAAAGUUAGGGGAUCGAAGACGAUCAGAUACCGUCGUAGUCUUAACCAUAAACUAUGCCGACUAGGGAUCGGAUGAUGUUAAUUUUUUAAUGACUCA